rnacentral:lncRNA from 1 species
UUGGUUGGGCGACGAACUGGUUGUUGAUACAGAUGGCUGCGGCUGAGUGACGUCUUCGCUUCUGUUUAUGUUUUGUUCUGGUGUUGUAGUUGAGUCGACUGAUUUAUUUGGAAUAAAUGAACUCCCCUCAUUAUAAUUUCUCCGAUGAUUAUCUCCAAAUCCACGGCUAUUAUUUUGAGGUCGACUCGGUUGACUGCCUCGAUUAUAAUUACGAUGAGGAGUUUCAACUUCAUUCACGACAACACCUAACCGCUCAUCCUUCUGAUGGUUUGUUUUGAAAUUCCGUGAACCAAAUUUAUCGUCUACACUCUGUACUCGACUCAAACAAGCCUCAAACUUGUCAUAGGAUUCAAAACUUUGCGAGCUUAAUGCCGUCUGAAUGGAAUAAGCAGCAGUGGUCUUGAAAACUUCAAGUAUGGUUUCGAUCGUCCCAGGUGUAGAUAUGGCAGCCCCUGCGGCUGUUUGGUCUCCAACUCAGCAGCAACGACAUCAUUGGAAGACGUUUGACGAUCUACCUCGCGCCGAUCGACGUUGGCGAUUGGUGAUGAUUGCACCGAAUUAAAUGUUGGCUGACUUUCCUCUAGCUGAGUCGAUGACAAACGCUCUCGAAUGCCGCGCUCAAAGUCAACUGAAGUCGCGCUGGUUGCCGGUUUUGGAGAAGCUUCGGGUGAGACAGGAUCUGCCGGUGUAACAAUGUGGUAGACCCAUCCAGUUCCGUGGCGGGGUUUGCCAUGAUUCUCCCAAAAAGUGAAGUGUAGACGAAAUCCAAUAAGUGAAAAAUAGUGAGUGAAUGAUAGUGGUGCGCGCAAAUUGGAAUAACAGAAUCAGGUCAGUGCAAAUUAUCUUGUAGUUCUGAAGAAUUAAUACCGCUGACUAAUUCCCACAACUUCAAAGCAAGACAAAAUCGCGACAAUAAUACGUUUUAGAAUACAAUAAUACUCUACAAUAUAUAUACCGUAAUGAUCAACAUAAAAUUCAACACAAUCAAAAUAAUAUCCAGUGUAUGAACAAUCACAAAUUAAUAAAUAAAUCGACUACCUCAAGCUUGUUCAUUUCAGGGAUUAAUACAUCAGAGUAACACCGUGUAGCCCCCAUUAGUGCAACAAAAAAUACCUGCUCAAUUCGAUCAAUAAUUAUUAAGAAAUAAAAUUGAACAACAAUAUUGAACAGAGUAUUGAUGGCUAGGCGACCCACGACUCCACUGAAAAGAAAUAUUUAUAUUUCUGCUCCCUCUCAAGCGUAGAUAAGUCGAUCUCUGAAAUAAAUUUAUGAUUAUUAAGAUGAAAUAAGCUCCCUCUCCUUCACCAUCUUGUGUUCGGGCGCCAAUCUUGUGGAUUCGCAAGAGCCUCUGGACGCUUAACACCUGUAAUUCGGAUAAAAAAAUCAGCCGGCAGAGCUGCCUACACCCGUCCAGAAUAUCCUACAAUUCCACAAGAAAUAAUAUUUCUGCCGUACUCUGAUAUAAACCGCCUGAGAAUCAGGCGUGAUAGCCUACCAAUAUCUCCAGGCAAUUCAAACCCGAGCACAGCAAAUGUAAUUUAUUUCUUAUGAAUAACAAGUAAAUUCAAUAUUGAUAUUCCAAUACCUGAAAUAAUUCCUACAGAGAAAAAACCAAUAUGGUAAUUAUAGACCGAACUGAGCAGGAUCUAAUUAGAGAAAUUACUGAAACUGGUUAACAAUUAUGCAAAUUUAUUGAUGAAUUAUAAUCGUUAAGAAUCAAAUAAUAAUAAUUAAUUAAAUAAUUGACAAAUUGGAAUAAUAGAGUUUUCAAAAUUUGGUAAUAAAUGUUCUUGAUAUGAGAUAAUAAUAUGAAUGUUCUUGGUAAUAUAGUGCAAUUAGGAUUUUAAUAGGGGUUACACGGUAUUAUAGGAGGAUAUAGUCCUGCACUCUUUCACAAUAAUUAAUUGAUAGAAAAUUGUAGCUUUCUCAAUUCACUGAUUGGAUAGAAUAAAUAUUUUUCGCUCACCAACUCGAUCGUGGGGCCCCAAUUCACUUAAUAAUUUUAUUUCACUUGAAGAUCUGGCGUGGAAUGGCGUCACCCAGGAUUUAGUUUCACAAUUCUUCCUCAGGAAUAAGCUUAUACAAAUUGAACUUGCCUUCCAAUUAAUUUAAGAGCACAAGACUACAGAGGAGCUACACAUUUAACACACUGGAUAUAUUACAUUUAACAAGAAGAGAAACCAUUUAAACAUUAAUUUUAAUAGGACAAAUUAAACGGGUCCUGAUAAUUCGAUUCUCAGAAGGCAAGUG